rnacentral:lncRNA from 1 species
CGGGGCUUAACCCUACCCUUCGUGCCCUGUCCGAGUGGAAGCCCAGCGGCCAGAGUGAGUUCAUUCAGAAGCUCUCCCAGGUCAGCUGACUCGGGAAGCCUGUGAAUGGGGAGAGGAGAGAGGCAGCCUUUCGUCACGGAGCGAGCGGCGAGCGCAGGCUGACUGCCCCCUGCGCCCGUGGAGAGCGGGUCCCAGUAUGGGCUGAACUGGGCAGGAAAGCAGCAGCUCUUCCCCACUCGCCAUGGAUGAGCCAAACAUUUUGAGACGCCGUGGGCUGCAGAAGGAGCUGAGCCUUCCCAGAAGAGGCAGUGUUUUGUCUCCUACGUGCCAGAGCCCUACUCUGCUGAGCCCCUGCAGCCCCUGCAGCCCCUGCAGCCCGUUACUAACCCUGCACCCCUGGAGGUAAGACGCAUCCCCCCAUUGCACACGCUGGCACUGGGGCGGGCAGCCCCGGUCGUUCCCGAGCGAUUGAGAAACACUGAGUUACCAUCAUGCACUCUGGGGGUAGUGGGGAGGGGGGCCGAGCCUUGAAGGUCCAUGUCUUAAGAAAAGACAGACAGCUUUUUUGAGCCCUAAAACAAUCUACUGUGAGGUUACUUCCUUGUCCUGUAUGAACCCCAGGAUGCCAGGCUGGUCACAGCCAGGAGAACCUGAGUGAACCUGAGUGAGCCAUCUGGAGUUUCCAUAGGGGGUUAAGGUGGAGCAACACCUAAAAUGCUCUAGCCUGGGCCUUCAAAGGUUCAGCCUGAAUGGAGUAUAGGAAUUAUUCAUUUGUGACAUCAUAAUAAUGUGGAUACAUUGUAAGAUCAGCUGAUCCAAUACUUUUCUGGACAGAUGCUUACUGAAUGCGCAGUCAAAGAUAGAGAGACAGUAGAGGAAGUUUCCAUAAACUAGACACAGCAGCUGACUGGGCCAGAGCUUAGUCUGGUUUCCAUAGUGUUAAUAAGAACAGAGAGCAUGUGACACCCUCCCUGGAUGGGACACUGAUCACCCCCUAGUUAUACAGCUGGGUGGACUAGAGCUACUCAGGGUACAACAGCAGGGAUUCGAACCCACAACUCGCCAUAGAGGAGGGAGACAGCAUUUUGCUAAACACAUUUUGUGUGCCCUGAAUCAGUUCUCUAAUCAUAAAUAUCAGUCUCCUGAGAAAUGACACCUCAUAUGAGAGAAAAAAAAGAUUUGUGUGAAAGAAGCAGCAUGUCGAGAACAUUUUCCUGUGUUUGUAAUUCGAGAAACGUCAAGCCCAGCACGUUCCUUCACUUUGCAGACUCUCGCCAAUGAUUACAUGGGUUGCCUAGCAACCUCUAAUGAUACUGUGGAAAAAAAGAACUUCAAUAAAACAAGGUCAAUAGUAGCCAGGAAGCAUUUGGCACUAUUUGUGCUCAAUUAGAAGAUACAGCAGCGCAGAGGGAAGCCUGAUCUAUUGAUGAACCACCACAGGACAGGCUCCAGUGUUGAUCGAGCCAAGCCAUCUCUCUGAGUGACAGGUCUGUUGUGUUUAGAACACAAGAAAAAAUCUCAACAGAGUUAUAUUCAGGCACACAGGUAUAGGGGUGGGCUUGGCGGUGUGCGAAUUUGGCUACAGUUCUCUGAACCAUAACGAAUGUCGAGACCCUACAGUACUGACAAGACCCAGACAUACUUAUCUUCUGAGAUCUGACAAGUUCCA